GUGCAUUAUUUAUUAACUUUUUUCUUAACAACUAUUGUUAGAAUUAAUAUAUUUUAUCUGCGCUCGAAUCAAUUUUUUCUUCUUCAAAUGUAGUCCAAGGAAGCCGAAACAGUGCAACUGUCGCCUUACCGACGCAGGGUAGAGGUGGUGCGGAUCGAGGGGGGGCGAAACAUUCAGGGACCCUGGUGGAUCAGGGGUCGGGGGUUAGAGGUUUACGAAAUACAGACGCAUAUAGGCGGCAUAGGUAGCGGAGCACAGGAACGGGAUGCGUCGCGUAGCAGACUGCGGCGAGGCUACGCACAACGUCAAACCGCACCGUUUGCAACCAACUGAAUUUUUCGGCUCUAUAUCUCAUAAACCUUUGACCUUUGACCCCGGGUCCAUUGGGGAUUUGUGGGUGUUUCGGACCCUCUUUCGAUCUGUGCUAUUUUCGCCGUGCUUCGGUUGGGCAACAGUUGUACCUCCGAAAGGUUUCUCCUGGUUUAAAUUGCUGAAUUUCUUGUUCAAAAAAUGAUCACUAGAGUUAUUUGGGUUGGAAUUUGGCAAUGAUUUGAUGAUUAAUACUUAGUAGAUGGUUAGAUUUGUUAUGAUUAUCGGUUAUGACCAUCGAUGUAUGAAGAAUCGAAACCAAAAUUUCAUACAUAUCAAUUAAUGCGAAAAUUACAAUUUAAAUUAUAAUACUACUGAACUUAUC
rnacentral:lncRNA from 1 species